AGAGUUUGAUCAUGGCUCAGAAUGAACGUUGGCGGCGUGGAUUAGGCAUGCAAGUCGAGCGAGAACCGAGGAAGCUUGCUUCCAAGGGGACAGCGGCGAAAGGGAGAGUAACGCGUAGAUACGUACCUUAGGGUUCGGGAUAGCCAUGGGAAACUGUGGGUAAUACCGAAUAAUGUCUCCGGACCAAAGAUUUAUCACCCUGAGAGCGGUCUGCGUCCUACUAGUUUGUUGGUGGGGUAAUGGCCUACCAAGACUAAGAUGGGUACCGGGCGUGAGAGCGUGAUCCGGCUCACUGGGACUGAGACACUGCCCAGACACCUACGGGUGGCUGCAGUCGAGAAUCUUCCGCAAUGGACGCAAGUCUGACGGAGCGACGCCGCGUGCGGGAUGAAGGCCCUCGGGUUGUAAACCGCUGUCAGAGGGGAGGAAAUUUUGACCGAUCCUCAGAGGAAGCGCAGGCUAAGUUCGUGCCAGCAGCCGCGGUAACACGAACUGCGCGAACGUUAUUCGGAAUCACUGGGCUUAAAGAGUUCGUAGGCGGCUUGGUCAGUCAGAUGUGAAAUCCCACAGCCCAACUGUGGAACUGCGUUUGAUACUGCCAAGCUUGAGGGAGUUAGAGGAAAGCGGAACUGAUGGUGGAGCGGUGAAAUGCGUUGAUAUCAUCAGGAACACCGGUGGCGAAAGCGGCUUUCU
rnacentral:rRNA from 1 species